GACGAACGCUGGCGGCGUGCUUAACACAUGCAAGUCGAACGGAAAGGCCCUGCUUUUGUGGGGUGCUCGAGUGGCGAACGGGUGAGUAACACGUGAGUAACCUGCCCUUGACUUUGGGAUAACUUCAGGAAACUGGGGCUAAUACCGGAUAGGAGCUCCUGCUGCAUGGUGGGGGUUGGAAAGUUUCGGCGGUUGGGGAUGGACUCGCGGCUUAUCAGCUUGUUGGUGGGGUAGUGGCUUACCAAGGCUUUGACGGGUAGCCGGCCUGAGAGGGUGACCGGCAAGUUUGGGUGUGAGAUACGGCCCAGACCCCUACGAGGGUCAGCAGUGGGGAAUUUUGCACAGUGGGCGGACGCCUGAUGCAGAAACGCCGAGGGCGGGAUGACGGCAUUCGGGUGGUAAACCGCUUUCGCCUGUGAAAGAGCGUGUGUGACGGUAAUGGGUAAGGAAGCACCGGCUAACUACGG
rnacentral:rRNA from 1 species